rnacentral:rRNA from 1 species
UACGUAGGGCGCAAGCGUUGUCCGGAAUUAUUGGGCGUAAAGAGCUCGUAGGCGGUUUGUCGCGUCGGCUGUGAAAACUCGGGGCUCAACCCCGAGCCUGCAGUCGAUACGGGCAAACUAGAGUGUGGUAGGGGAGACUGGAAUUCCUGGUGUAGCGGUGAAAUGCGCAGAUAUCAGGAGGAACACCGAUGGCGAAGGCAGGUCUCUGGGCCACUACUGACGCUGAGAAGCGAAAGCAUGGGGAGCGAACAGG